rnacentral:lncRNA from 1 species
GCCCCUGUCUGUUUACACUUUAUAAACUUUUCCGUCUUCAGAGAAUUAUUGUACCCAGCACAUGCAUUACUUUCCUAUGACAUACUGGAUUGGUAUAUAGAGGUUGUUUUUUUUUCAUAUUUUCAACCACUUUGAUGAAAUUUACAAUUAAAAAUCAGUAUUAUAGCGGCCAUGUUUUUUUUUUUGCUUCAAUAUCAAGACAGACCCCUGUCUGUUUACACUUUAUAAACUUUUCCGUCUUCAGAGAAUUAUUGUACCCAGCACAUGCAUUACUUUCCUAUGACAUACUGUACCCAGCACAUGCAUUACUUUCCUAUGACAUACUGGAUUGGUAUAUAGAGGUUGUUUUUUUUCAUAUUUUCAACCACUUUGAUGCAAUUUACAGUUAAAAAUCAGUAUUAAAGCUGUAGGCCAUGGUGUUUUGCUUCAAUAUCAAGACAGACCCCUGUCUGUUUACACUUUAUAAACUUUUCCAUCUUCAGAGAAUUAUUGUACCCAGUACUUGCAUUACUUUCCUAUGACAUACUGGAUUUGUGUAUAUAGGUUUUUUUUCAGAUUUUCAACCACUUUGAUGCAAUUUACAAUUAAAAAUCAGUACUCAAGCUGUCGGUCAUGUUAAUUUUCUUCAAUAUAAAGACAGACCCCUGUCCA